UACGUAGGGUGCAAGCGUUGUUCGGAAUUACUGGGCGUAAAGCGCACGUAGGCGGAUUUGUAAGUCAGGGGUGAAAUCCCGGGGCUCAACCUCGGAACUGCCUUUGAUACUGCAAGUCUCGAGUCCGAUAGAGGUGAGUGGAAUUCCUAGUGUAGAGGUGAAAUUCGUAGAUAUUAGGAAGAACACCAGUGGCGAAGGCGGCUCACUGGAUCGGUACUGACGCUGAGGUGCGAAAGCGUGGGGAGCAAACCGG
rnacentral:rRNA from 1 species